rnacentral:tRNA from 1 species
GCCCCGGUGGCGAAACGGCAGACGCGGAGGAUUUAAAAUCCUCUUCCUUCGGGAGUGCGGGUUCGACCCCCGCCCGGGGCAC